GGGUUGAUAAUGAGACCUCAUACUAUCUCAGAGAGAGAUGAUGACUUAAAACUCAUGCUUAAUAGGAUUACUCAGAGGCCC
ensembl:snoRNA SNORD115 Small nucleolar RNA SNORD115